ACUGACAGGCGGUGGCACUGCCAGCAUCGGGAACCCAAAGAGAAUUCAAAUUUUGGAGUCCAAAUUUGAAUCCUCUUGAGGCCUAUAAAUACCCCUCAAAUCUCAGCUGAGAUUACAACUUUUUGAGAAGCAAUUGAUUGAGAGAAAAGUCUUAGAAAGUCUUAGCAAGUCUUAUUUUCAAUUUGCUAGAGUGUUCUCCUCCUU
rnacentral:lncRNA from 1 species